rnacentral:lncRNA from 1 species
AUGCAUUGAAUUUUAGUUCUUUACUUUCCUUUUGAGAAAUUAAUACCCGUGAGACAACAGUAGCUUCUCUUCAUCAAGUUCAAGCUGGUUAUCACAGAUGGGUUUGAAUGAGGUUAUUUGAUGUUCAAUGCUUUUGUAAGUUGUAGCAAACAUAGUUUCCUUCCGCUGGUCACCAAUUUCUGUGUUUUUACAAUUGCAACAAACCUACCUCUUCUCAUCCUGCCUUGUCAACCUAUGCGUUAGUUUUCCGAUUUUAAUGGAAUGCUUCUAUAGUUUUUAUCUUGCUACUUGACACGAAUAUUGUUAUCAAUUAAUUCUAGGUCAACAUUAUUAUUGCUUAGACUCAUUGAUGUGACAAUUUGGAGAGCAAACUUUUCUAUCAACUGCAUGUUAUUGCCAAAUGAUCUAAACAUUUAUGAGACAAAAAAUCGCAGUAAUUCAAACUGUUUUUCCAGUGUUUUACGCCUAUAAUAUCUGUGUUUAACCAUAAAUGUUACUUUUUCCCUAUUUGAAUACCAUUCCUUUUCAACUUUUUUUCACUUGAUUUGAUUGACUUUUCAAUAGGAGCUGCAACAGGAUCAGGAGCGAGCUUUGGGACUAUUUCAGUGAGUAAAUUUUAUCUUAUUUAAAUUAUUUCUG